GCCAAAAAUCUAGCCUUAUUUUUACCUAUACCCCCCCCCCCCCUUUUUUUUAUAUUUAAACUAAAACAUUUAUAUGUCUAGUAAAGGAGAUUAAAAAACAAAUUUGAGCUAUAGAGCCCAGUACCGCAAGGAAAAGAUGAAAUAAAAAUGAAAUAAACUUUUAAGCAUAAAAAAGCAGAGAUUUUCUCUCGUACCUUUUGCAUCAUGGUUUAACUAGUAAUAUCAAGCAAAAAGAACUAUAGUUUGACAUCCCGAAACUAGACGAGCUACUUCGAGGCAGCUUAAUGAGCGAACCCGUCUCUGUUGCAAAAGAGUGGGAUGACCUCCAAGUAGCGGUGACAGACCUAACGAGUCUAGUGAUAGCUGGUUGCUUAAAAAAAGGAUUUUAGUCCUGCCUAAAGCAUUCUUAAUUUACUUAAAUAAUCUUCAUGCUUUAAAGUUAUUCAAUUAAGGUACAGCUUAUUUGAAAAAGGAUACAACCUACACUAAUGGGUAAUUUUUUGUUAGCAUAAAAAAGUGGGCCUAAAAGCAGCCAUCUUUAAAAUAGCGUCAAAGCUUACCUAUGUAAAACCCUAAUUCCUCAACCUUACAAUAAACCCUUUAUUAAUAUUAAGCAAUUCUAUAUUUAUAUAGAAGUCAUAAUGUUAAAACUAGUAAUAAGAAGGCAGACCUUCUCUUAAAUGCAAGUGUAAAUUAGAAAGGACCUACCACUAAUAAUUAAACGCCUAUGAGCACAAAACAGCAACCCAACCACCCCGAAAACCCUGUUUGUUUAAGACGUUAAACUACCACAAGAGCAUUAAAAGAAAGAUUAAAAGAAAAAGAAGGAACUCGGCAAAUAUUGACCCCGCCUGUUUACCAAAAACAUCGCCUCUUGAAACACUAUAAGAGGUCCAGCCUGCCCAGUGACUAAGUUCAACGGCCGCGGUAUCCUAACCGUGCGAAGGUAGCGUAAUCACUUGUUCUUUAAAUGAGGACUAGUAUGAAUGGCACCACGAGGGUUGUACUGUCUCCUCUUUCUAAUCAAUGAAACUGAUCUCCCCGUGAAGAAGCGGGGAUAUAAAUAUAAGACGAGAAGACCCUAUGGAGCUUUAAAUUAUAUAACACUGACUUAUUAAUAACAAGGUUUCAGAACAAUAAAAACUAUUUUAGCCAGAAUGAUUAUAAAUUUUAGGUUGGGGUGACCGCGGAGAAAAAACUAUCCUCCACAUUGAAAGGAGCUACUCCUGAACAAAAAGCUACAACUUUAAGCACCAAUAAAUUGACAUUAAUUGACCCAAUAUAUUGAUCAACGAACCAAGUUACCCUAGGGAUAACAGCGCAAUCCAUCUUAAGAGCUCCUAUCGACAGGUGGGUUUACGACCUCGAUGUUGGAUCAGGGCAUCCUAGUGGUGCAGCCGCUACUAAAGGUUCGUUUGUUCAACGAUUAAAGCCCU
rnacentral:rRNA from 1 species